rnacentral:SRP_RNA from 1 species
AGUGCGUCCCUCGCGAGGGGGAUCCGUAAACCUGGUCAGGCCGUAAUUGGAGCAGCCAUAAGCGGGGUACUCUUGUGCGAGGGGCGCUCUCCG